UUUGCUGCCUUUCUAAGUAAGUUUUUAACGCGGUGCUGGUGAAACAUUAAGGGGCUUCCACACAGGAAGUGACUCGCAGCAAUGUGGUUUCCAGAGAAGUCAGUGACAUUCAGUGACUUCGAGUGACGAUGGUCCCAGGUUAAACCUUUCUCAACUCCUCUGGUCUCCACGUCAUUGCAACUGAAGGUUGGAGGGAGAAAGCUACAAGAUGCCUGCUGAGUGUGAUUCGAUGGAAAUAUCAGAUCCCCUUUCUCACACCCUCCUCCUGUCCACCGCCGAUAGUCCGAUUUUAGCCGAAAACCCGCUGUGCCUUCUGACCCCGGAUCAUGAGGAGCUCGUCACCAUGGAGUCUGUGGAAUACCAGCAGGAGGAGGUGUGCGAAGACAUGGAGAAGGACCCCCUGUCUGACAGCGGUUACAUCGAGCUGCACUAUUACGAGUCUCAGCAGUACCAGUACCUUGUGCUGCCGGACGACACCGAGCUCGACCUGGAGACCGUGGAGAUCCUGCAGCUUGAUGCCGAGGCCCAGGAGGCCGCCGGGUCACUGCUGGACCUCGCAGGCGGUGGAUAUUAGUUCAGAUCCUCAAAGAAACCCUCCUGGCUUCCAGUACACAAGCUGAAUAUAUCACCAUAGCAUCCCAUCCAGCCUGAACAGAGCCUUCAAGGUGUAGAACUGAGACAAAAGUAUUAAAAAUUAAGUGAUUCCACAGUGAUUUUCUAACAUGUUAACAUCGUUCUCAGGGGUGGAAGGAGUGCUUCAAGCUCAAUACAGAGUGCUGUUUCUCGACUGAGAAGUUUCCCAUUUUCAGGGGUGACUAACACGCUGUUGAAAUGUUCACGUUUAAUGUACAGCGAACAGCACAUUGACUCACUUCCACAUCGUUACCAGUAAAAUAUGAAUAUGUGUUACCCUCUUUCACUUGUUCUAAGCGGUGACCGUCUUUUCUUUCUAAGAAAGUUUCUGUAGGACAUUCAAAGUAAACUGUAGUUGACAGUCUUUGUUGUUUUCAGCAACACUGUUGCUUUGAUAGUUGAAGAAAACAGAUAAAAAAAAUUAUUUAUAAUGUAGCUAUGAUUUUAGAUUGUACUUAAGAAGUACAGGGAAGCACUUCUCAGUUAUAAUAAGUACUUCAAAUUUUAUUUCUAAUGGUUUUUAAUGUCCAUUAUUUUCAAGAUUAUCUUUGCUUGAGUUUAUUUUAUUUGCACGAUGUCUUCAAUCAGGAACAGUUUGAUUGACUCACUGCCAUUUUAACCACUUUACAUGUCGGUUACACUGAAAUUCUCUUCAUAAAUUGUAUGUAUUUACAACAGUUUUGGGUUUUGUAAUCUAAUAAAUAAAAUCUGUGAUGCCGUUCUUCUGAGCUGUGCAUCGGUUGUUAUAGUUUUGGUUUUAUUUUGUUUUUAAUGUUUGUUUUCCGCUUCAGUGAGUUUGCUUGGUUUGGUUUAGUUUGAUUUGGUUAAAUAAGUUUUUAAUGAUAAUGUCAAAGUUAUGAUUUAAGAAAUUCAGAAUAGAUUUGUACAGGACAAAUAAAACAUUUUGUGCAGCCAGUGCAUUCACAGUUUUAAUAUGUGCACCGGUCCCUCUGUAUACCGCACUGGACCCCUACAUGUCUUCAUGUGAGUGGUGGACAUGUAGCUCUGUGGGCUAACGCCUGACCAUCAGGCACUUGCCCCAAAAUAGCUUAAGAACUAUUCUACAAUUAUGGGACAUUUUCUUUUCCAGCCAUGAAUUUGAAAAUAGUCCAUGCACAAAAUACUAAACAUACAUUUGUUGUGUGCACCUGAGACAAAAUGCGGACCCAGUUGUUGAAAAAGUUGUUCCAAAAUAUUAUUUCAACUCCUCAAAAAAGGACAUUUAUCUUUUGGCCCAACUUCUUGAUAACCAAAUUACAUGUCGUAUAUAACUGUUUCAAUAUUUUGUUUACGCUUACAAUUAUUUAGCUAUCUUCAAGAUCAACAUAUUUUAAAGAACAGUAAUUAUGAACUGCAAGUUAUGUCUCACAACAUAUGUGCCAUCCUGUGACCGA
ensembl:lncRNA